rnacentral:lncRNA from 1 species
UUUUCUCGCAAUUCCAUACGAGGGCUCAAUGUAUUUCCUUACUAUGAAUGGUUCCUCUAUAAUCUCUCUCCAUCUUUGUUACAACAGCUACUAGCUAACCCUAAACAGAUCUCAAGUUACAGAGCACCAAACUUGAAGUGGAAACGCAAAGGCUAAAUUUCAGCUAACUGAAAAAGACCUGAACACAACACCUGACAUAGAAAAUUGCAGCACAUAUUUCUCCAUAUUUUACACAGUAGUAAACCCCACUCCUCUGAUGAAGCUUGUUCACCUUCAUCUGGUCUUUGACUUUUCUAUACAACUGGUAACCCAAAACCUCAUGAACUGGUCAUAGGAGAGCUCCAAACUGAGCAAUCUGCUGCAAUCCAGUUUUCAGCUAAUCUGAACAAAAAUUCAGUCAGUGCAAACUCACAGUCCAUUUUUGGGCAGCUUUCACUCUAUUUUCCAUACACCCCCAAAUCAAACCUACUUAGGGCUUGUUCGGUUAUUCCUAUCCCAUAUGGAUUGGAUGAGAUUGGAAAAUUUUGUGAAAGAUUUUGACUUGUUUGGGAUUGAAACCCGUCCAAUCCCACCCAAUCCACAUGGAUUGAGAGCAAAACGAACAGACCCUUAAGGAGAAUGGUUUACCAUCAUAUGAGCUUCUCUAUCUUAUGCAGAGCACAAAAUAUGCACAACUCGACUGAGAAAACCCUUGAAGUUACCUGGUCACGGCGAGGUGGACUAACUGCCGAUGAUGGUCACCACCUAGGGACUGGUACACCAAGCUCUGGGCAGAUGGACCAAGAUAUUGGGAGGGGAUUAACUCCGAGGAAACAUAGGCUACAAGAGCCAAGGAGAUCACUCGAGCUCUAGGACUGCACGGCCUACUGGACCAUGACUUAAGUAGGAGAUGGGAAGACUAGGGCAGAUCGAGUUGGUGGCUGGGAAGAGGAGCUUAGACUUACAAACACGAACCGCUAAGACACCAAGUGAAGCAACUAAAACUUGAGAACAGCAGGGAUUACAGCAGCAGUAUUUAAGCAAAGGGAUGGGGAGACAGAUGUUCCAGAGCUCGGCCAGGACAUGAUGGAGGAGGACGCCGGGGACGCCAGCAGCCCCACGAUUAUGGACACGUAGCAG